UAAAGCUCUUCUCCUUCUGAUUCAUCGAGAAGUAUACUGAUUGAUUGAGAGGAUUGAUUCUCUCUUGGUAGAAAAGCUUAACUCUUGAUUCGAAGUUGGUAUCAAUAUUUUCUUCACGUUCAAGGCGAAGUCUCCACGAUGGUCAAGACUUGAGAUUUAGAACUUGCUUUGGAGAUUUGAUGCAGUAUCCAGAUGAGUUGGAGCUAUUCGGGUUUCGGGAUUUCGGGGGAAAAGAUUUAAGUUCCAUUCGGAUAUUUUAAAUUUCGGUUCGAAUUUUUGCGGGUUCGGGUUCGGAUAACCUAUUUAAAUUAUUUUUAAAAUUAUAAAUUCAUUAUAUAUUUUAAAUUACUCAAAAUCUAUAAACAAAAUAAUAUAUUACAUAUAAAUUUGAAUAACAUAUGUAAAAUACCUAAACUUAACAUAUAAAUUGGUUUUGUUUGAAUAUUUAGAUAGAGAAUAAAUAAAUAUUUUAAGUAUUUUUGGUAUUUUGAGUAUACUUUAACUAUUUAAGACAUUUACUUUUGAUUAUUUUGUAUAUAUUUUCAAGUAUUUUGGAUAAGUUAAAAGUAUCAAAUAUAUUUUGGAUUUUUUUAAUCUACAUUAAAUCUAAAAAAUAAUUAAUAUAUAGGUUUAUAAAUCUAUUUCAGAUAUAUUCGGGUAUCCAAAAUAUUUCGAUUCAGAUCGGAUUUGGUUUCGGUUCUUUAAAUACCAAAAUUUUAGACCCAUUCGGAUAUUUAAUCAAUUUUGGUUUGAAUUCGGUACUACUUUUUCGGAUCGGGUUCGGUUCGGUUUUUCGGAUCUGGGUUUUUUGCCAGCCCUAACUGAAAUGUUGGGUUGACAAAAAAAAAAGAUCAAAAUUAAAAUUAGAUUGAAAUGGGUAUAUAUGGAUAUGUCCAAAUUGGACAUGAAUGUUUUUUUGACCAUUCUCCAUUGCAGAUCGACCAGUGAUAGUCCAGAAGGGUAAACCGUGUGGUCAAUUCAAAUGGGCGAUGGAUGAACCAAUUGACACAUCUAUACAUAUAUUGUCUUUUUCAUAGUCCAUUAUUGUUAGAAAAGAAUAAUAUAGUAUUGAAGAUUUCUCCCAUGAUAAGAAAAAAUAAAAAUAUGAAAAAAAAUUAUAUAAUGAUGUUACAGAGUUAUUUUUAGUAGACCCCUAUUGAUGUUGAGAUUCAACUGGAACUAAAAUAAUAACUUGUUUUUUUAUUGGUGCAUUGUUUUGGUAGUUUCCUUUCUUGCACACACAACUUUGUAGCUCCCAUCUAUCUUAAAAAGAGGUUCCC
rnacentral:lncRNA from 1 species